AUUGAACGCUGGCGGCAUGCCUUACACAUGCAAGUCGAACGGUAACGCGGGGCAACCUGGCGACGAGUGGCGAACGGGUGAGUAAUGUAUCGGAACGUGCCCAGUUGUGGGGGAUAACUGCUCGAAAGAGCAGCUAAUACCGCAUACGACCUGAGGGUGAAAGCGGGGGAUCGCAAGACCUCGCGCAAUUGGAGCGGCCGAUAUCAGAUUAGGUAGUUGGUGGGGUAAAGGCUCACCAAGCCGACGAUCUGUAGCUGGUCUGAGAGGACGACCAGCCACACUGGGACUGAGACACGGCCCAGACUCCUGCGGGAGGCAGCAGUGGGGAAUUUUGGACAAUGGACGCAAGUCUGAUCCAGCCAUGCCGCGUGCGGGAAGAAGGCCUUCGGGUUGUAAACCGCUUUUGUCAGGGAAGAAAAGGCUCCUUCUAAUAUAGGGGGCUCAUGACGGUACCUGAAGAAUAAGCACCGGCUAACUACGUGCCAGCAGCCGCCGUAACAC
rnacentral:rRNA from 1 species